AAGACCUUGCGUUUUUGGAGCGGCCGAUGUCUGAUUAGCUAGUUGGUGGGGUAAUGGCCUACCAAGGCUUCGAUCAGUAGCUGGUCUGAGAGGACGGCCAGCCACACUGGGACUGAGACACGGCCCAGACUCCUACGGGAGGCAGCAGUGGGGAAUUUUGGACAAUGGGCGCAAGCCUGAUCCAGCCAUGCCGCGUGAGUGAAGAAGGCCUUCGGGUUGCAAAGCUCUUUCAGCCGAGAAGAAAAGAUUGCGACUAAUAAUCGCAAUUCAUGACGGUACCGGCAGAAGAAGCACCGGCUAACUACGUGCCAGCAGCCGCGGUAAUACGUAGGGUGCGAGCGUUAAUCGGAAUUACUGGGCGUAAAGGGUGCGCAGGCGGUUUUGUAAGUCAGAUGUGAAAUCCCCGGGCUUAACCUGGGAACU
rnacentral:rRNA from 1 species